CCUACGGGAGGCAGCAGUGAGGAAUAUUGGUCAAUGGACGAGAGUCUGAACCAGCCAAGUAGCGUGAAGGAUGACGGCCCUAUGGGUUGUAAACUUCUUUUAUAAAGGAAUAAAACGAGGCACGUGUGCCCUUUUGCAUGUACCUUAUGAAUAAGCAUCGGCUAACUCCGUGCCAGCAGCCGCGGUAAUACGGAGGAUCCGAGCGUUAUCCGGAUUUAUUGGGUUUAAAGGGAGCGUAGGUGGGUUGUUAAGUCAGUUGUGAAAGUUUGGGGCUCAACCGUAAAAUUGCAAUUGAUACUGGCAGUCUUGAGUACAGUAGAGGUAGGCGGAAUGCGUGGUGUAGCGGUGAAAUGCUUAGAUAUCACGAAGAACCCCGAUUGCGAAGGCAGCUUACUAACCUGUUACUGACAUUGAUGCACGAAAGUGUGGGUAUCGAACAGGAUUAGAUACCCGAGUAGUC
rnacentral:rRNA from 1 species